rnacentral:rRNA from 1 species
UACGUAGGGUGCGAGCGUUGUCCGGAAUUACUGGGCGUAAAGAGCUCGUAGGUGGUUUGUCGCGUUGUUCGUGAAAACUCACGGCUUAACUGUGAGCGUGCGGGCGAUACGGGCAGACUGGAGUACUGCAGGGGAGACUGGAAUUCCUGGUGUAGCGGUGGAAUGCGCAGAUAUCAGGAGGAACACCGGUGGCGAAGGCGGGUCUCUGGGCCGUAACUGACGCUGAGGAGCGAAAGCGUGGGGGAGCGAACAGG